rnacentral:rRNA from 1 species
ACUCAAAUGAAUAGACGGGGGCCCGCACAAGCGGUGGAGCAUGUGGUUUAAUUCGACGCAACGCGAAGAACCUUACCAGGGCUUGACAUCCUUAGAAUCCCGAGGAAACUUGGGAGUGCCCUUCGGGGAGCUAAGAGACAGGUGGUGCAUGGUUGUCGUCAGCUCGUGUCGUGAGAUGUUGGGUUAAGUCCCGCAACGAGCGCAACCCCUAUGUUUAGUUGCUAACGCGUAGAGGCGAGCACUCUAGACAGACUGCCGGUGAUAAACCGGAGGAAGGUGGGGAUGACGUCAAAUCAUCAUGCCCCUUAUGUUCUGGGCUACACACGUGCUACAAUGGCCGGUACAAACGGACGCGAAGCCGCGAGGUGGAGCAAAUCUGAUAAAACCGGUCUCAGUUCGGAUUGUAGGCUGCAACUCGCCUACAUGAAGUUGGAAUCGCUAGUAAUCGCAGGUCAGCAUACUGCGGUGAAUACGUUCCCGGGCCUUGUACACACCGCCCGU